UGAUGAUGAAGCUUGAAGAAGGGAGAAGGGCUGGGAGAAAUAUGGAACAGCUGGGACAGGCCGGAGAGAAAGAACAAAGUUGCAGUGACCCCGAUUCAGCUCAGGACCCGCUUAGAGAGUCACCUGGGACACAUCGAUGUCAGCACAUACAGCCCGGAAACCAGAGCUGCCGAAAGCUCUUCCUUCUCUCUCUUCCUUAAUAGACGGACUGCUCUUCUUUUAAAGCUUAUGUCCAAACGAGCAUAGUAAGUUUUGUGUAAAUCAUUUGGAAUUUCAACCCCAACAAUUACAGACCAUAUAACUU
rnacentral:lncRNA from 1 species